rfam:Schistosoma mattheei strain Denwood, Zambia genome assembly, scaffold: SMTD_scaffold0003587
AUCCAGCUAACGAGUCCCAAAUAGGACUAAACGCGCGUCCUGCU